rnacentral:rRNA from 1 species
CCUACGGGCGGCUGCAGUGGGGAAUAUUGCACAAUGGGCGCAAGCCUGAUACAGCCAUGCCGCGUGUGUGAAGAAGGCCUUCGGGUUGUAAAGCACUUUCAGCGGGGAGGAAGGCGGUGAGGUUAAUAACCUCAUCGAUUGACGUUACCCGCAGAAGAAGCACCGGCUAACUCCGUGCCAGCAGCCGCGGUAAUACGGAGGGUGCAAGCGUUAAUCGGAAUUACUGGGCGUAAAGCGCACGCAGGCGGUCUGUCAAGUCGGAUGUGAAAUCCCCGGGCUCAACCUGGGAACGGCAUUCGAAACUGGCAGGCUAGAGUCUUGUAGAGGGGGGUAGAAUUCCAGGUGUAGCGGUGAAAUGCGUAGAGAUCUGGAGGAAUACCGGGGGCGAAGGCGGCCCCCUGGACAAAGACUGACGCUCAGGUGCGAAAGCGUGGGGAGCAAACAGGAUUAAUACCCCGGUAGUC